rnacentral:rRNA from 1 species
AUUGAACGCUGGCGGCAGGCCUAACACAUGCAAGUCGAGCGGUAGCACAGAGAGCUUGCUCUCGGGUGACGAGCGGCGGACGGGUGAGUAAUGUCUGGGAAACUGCCUGAUGGAGGGGGAUAACUACUGGAAACGGUAGCUAAUACCGCAUAACGUCGCAAGACCAAAGUGGGGGACCUUCGGGCCUCAUGCCAUCAGAUGUGCCCAGAUGGGAUUAGCUAGUAGGUGGGGUAAUGGCUCACCUAGGCGACGAUCCCUAGCUGGUCUGAGAGGAUGACCAGCCACACUGGAACUGAGACACGGUCCAGACUCCUACGGGAGGCAGCAGUGGGGAAUAUUGCACAAUGGGCGCAAGCCUGAUGCAGCCAUGCCGCGUGUGUGAAGAAGGCCUUCGGGUUGUAAAGCACUUUCAGCGGGGAGGAAGGCGAUAAGGUUAAUAACCUCAUCGAUUGACGUUACCCGCAGAAGAAGCACCGGCUAACUCCGUGCCAGCAGCUGCGGUAAUACGGAGGGUGCAAGCGUUAAUCGGAAUUACUGGGCGUAAAGCGCACGCAGACGGUCUGUCAAGUCGGAUGUGAAAUCCCCGGGCUCAACCUGGGAACUGCAUUCGAAACUGGCAGGCUAGAGUCUUGUAGAGGGGGGUAGAAUUCCAGGUGUAGCGGUGAAAUGCGUAGAGAUCUGGAGGAAUACCGGUGGCGAAGGCGGCCCCCUGGACAAAGACUGACGCUCAGGUGCGAAAGCGUGGGGAGCAAACAGGAUUAGAUACCCUGGUAGUCCACGCCGUAAACGAUGUCGAUUUGGAGGUUGUGCCCUUGAGGCGUGGCUUCCGGAGCUAACGCGUUAAAUCGACCGCCUGGGGAGUACGGCCGCAAGGUUAAAACUCAAAUGAAUUGACGGGGGCCCGCACAAGCGGUGGAGCAUGUGGUUUAAUUCGAUGCAACGCGAAGAACCUUACCUGGUCUUGACAUCCACAGAACUUUCCAGAGAUGGAUUGGUGCCUUCGGGAACUGUGAGACAGGUGCUGCAUGGCUGUCGUCAGCUCGUGUUGUGAAAUGUUGGGUUAAGUCCCGCAACGAGCGCAACCCUUAUCCUUUGUUGCCAGCGGUCCGGCCGGGAACUCAAAGGAGACUGCCAGUGAUAAACUGGAGGAAGGUGGGGAUGACGUCAAGUCAUCAUGGCCCUUACGACCAGGGCUACACACGUGCUACAAUGGCAUAUACAAAGAGAAGCGAUCUCGCGAGAGCAAGCGGACCUCAUAAAGUAUGUCGUAGUCCGGAUUGGAGUCUGCAACUCGACUCCAUGAAGUCGGAAUCGCUAGUAAUCGUAGAUCAGAAUGCUACGGUGAAUACGUUCCCGGGCCU